rnacentral:rRNA from 1 species
UCAAUGGAGAGUUUGAUCCUGGCUCAGGACGAACGCUGGCGGCGUGCUUAACACAUGCAAGUCGAACGGAAAGGCCCCUUCGGGGGUACUCGAGUGGCGAACGGGUGAGUAACACGUGGGCAACCUGCCCCUAGCUCUGGGAUAACUCCGGGAAACCGGUGCUAAUACCGGAUAUUAACCUUGACGGGCAUCCGACGAGGUUAAAAGUUUUUCGGCUAGGGAUGGGCCCGCGGCCUAUCAGCUUGUUGGUGGGGUAAUGGCCUACCAAGGCGACGACGGGUAGCCGGCCUGAGAGGGCGACCGGCCACACUGGGACUGAGACACGGCCCAGACUCCUACG